rnacentral:rRNA from 1 species
GAGCGGAACGAGUUAUCUGAACCUUCGGGGAACGAUAAACGGCGUCGAGCGGCGGACGGGUGAGUAAUGCCUAGGAAAUUGCCCUGAUGUGGGGGGAUAACCAUUGGAAACGAUGGCUAAUACCGCAUAAUGCCUACGGGCCAAAGAGGGGGACCUUCGGGCCUCUCGCGUCAGGAUAUGCCUAGGUGGGAUUAGCUAGUUGGUGAGGUAAGGGCUCACCAAGGCGACGAUCCCCUAGCUGGUCUGAGAGGAUGAUCAGCCACACUGGAACUGAGACACGGUCCAGACUCCUACGGGAGGCAGCAGUGGGGAAUAUUUGCACAAUGGGCGCAAGCCUGAUGCAGCCAUGCCGCGUGUGUGAAGAAGGC